UACAGAGGGGGCGAAGCGUUGUUCGGAAUUACUGGGCGUAAAGGGCGCGUAGGCGGCCCGCUAAGUCGAACGUGAAAUCCCCGAGCUCAACUCGGGAACUGCGUCCGAUACUGGCGGGCUUGAAUCCGGGAGAGGGAUGCGGAAUUCCCGGUGUAGAGGUGAAAUUCGUAGAUAUCAGGAGGAACACCAAUAGCGAAGGCAGCUCGCUGGGACGUUACUGACACUGAGGCGCGAAAGCGUGGGGAGCGAACAGG
rnacentral:rRNA from 1 species